GACGAACGCUGGCGGCGUGCUUAACACAUGCAAGUCGAACGGAAAGGCUCCAGCUUGCUGGAGUACUCGAGUGGCGAACGGGUGAGUAACACGUGGGUAAUCUGCCCUGCACUCUGGGAUAAGCCUGGGAAACUGGGUCUAAUACUGGAUAUGACCUUUCUCCUUAUGGGGUUUGGUGGAAAGUUUUUCGGUGUAGGAUGAGCCCGCAGCCUAUCAGCUUGUUGGUGGGGUGAUGGCCUACCAAGGCGACGACGGGUAGCCGGCCUGAGAGGGUGAUCGGCCACAUUGGGACUGAGAUACGGCCCAGACUCCUACGGGAGGCAGCAGUGGGGAAUAUUGCACAAUGGGCGGAAGCCUGAUGCAGCGACGCCGCGUGAGGGGUGACGGCCUUCGGGUUGUAAACCUCUUUCAGCAGGGACGAAGCGUAAGUGACGGUACCUGCAGAAGAAGCACCGGCUAACUAUGUG
rnacentral:rRNA from 1 species